UACGUAGGGUGCGAGCGUUAAUCGGAAUUACUGGGCGUAAAGCGUGCGUAGGCGGUUCGCUGUGUCCGAUGUGAAAGCCCCGGGCUUAACCUGGGGAAUGGCAUUGGAAACUGGCGAGCUUGAGUGCGGCAGAGGGGGGUGGGAAGUUCCGCGUGUAGCAGUGAAAUGCGUAGAGAUGCGGAGGAACACCGAUGGCGAAGGCAGCCCCCUGGGUCGACACUGACGCUCAGGCACGAAAGCGUGGGGAGCAAACAGG
rnacentral:rRNA from 1 species